GUACCGGGGGAUGCUAAGCGUUAUCCGGAAUCACUGGGGCGUAUAGCGCCUGGUAGGCCGCUUAAUGAAGUUUGUUGUUAAAAUUUAAGGCUUAACCUUAGGAAAGCAAUGGAAACUGAUAGGCUAGAGUAUGGGAUGGGUAAAGGGAAUUUCUAGUGGAGUGGUGAAAUGCGUAGAUAUUAGAAGGAACACCAGAGGCGAAGGCGCUUUACUAGAACAUUACUGACACUCAGAGGCGAAAGCUAGGGGAGCAAAAGGGAUUAGAUACCCCUGUAGUCCUUGCUGUAAACGAUGGAUACUAGGUAUUGUGAAAGUACAUUGAAUUGCUGUAAUAAGUUUACCUUAUAAUUUCUUACUAGGCUAAAACCCUAAGUGUUAUACUUGAGGGUAUUACUUUUCAAAGUAUAAUUGCAGUGGUGUAGUUAACGCAUUAAGUAUCCCGCCUGGGAAGUACGCUCGCAAGGGUGAAACUCAAAGGAAUUGACGGGGGCCCGCACAAGCGGUGGAGCAUGUGGUUUAAUUCGAUGCAACGCGAAGAACCUUACCAGGACUUGACAUAAUGUAAAUAUUCUUGAAAAAGAGUAGUGCCUUCGGGAAUACAAACACAGGUGGUGCAUGGCUGUCGUCAGCUCGUGUUGUGAGAUGUUGGGUUAAGUCCCGCAACGAGCGUAACCCUUAUUUUUAGUUGCCAUUAUAUAUGGGUCUUUAGAAAGACUGCCGGUGAUAAACCGGAGGAAGGUGAGGACGACGUCAAGUCAGCAUGCCCCUUAUGUCCUGGGCUACACACGUGCUACAAUGGUUAGGACAAGGAGUUGCCAGUUCGUGAGGAUUAGCUAAUCUCGUAAACUUAA
rnacentral:rRNA from 1 species